UCAUUGCUGGAGCAAACGCCCCCAGGGGCGCUACCCAGACACCCUGUGUGAAUUUUCCACUGUUGCCUCGGCAUUGCUGCCCCCGAAUGGGGGCCCUCUCUCCUCUGGAGAGUGGAGCCAGCCGGCCGGAGGCCCUCAUAAACGCUUGUACUGUACCACUCUGAGCAACAACCAAAAUGAAUCAAAACUUUCAACAACGGAUCUCUUGGUUCUGGCAUCGAUGAAGAACGCAGCGAAAUGCGAUACGUAAUGUGAAUUGCAGAAUUCAGUGAACCAUCGAAUCUUUGAACGCACAUUGCGCCCGGCGGUAUUCCGCUGGGCAUGCCUGUUCGAGCGUCAUUUCACCCCUCAAAGCCCGGCUUUGGUGUUGGAGGAGCAGCUCCGGCUGCCCUCCCAAAUGCAGUGGCGGGCUCGCCAGCCUUCUGAGCGUAGUAAUCUUUGCCUCGCUUGGGAAGGCUAGCGGGCGUUGCCAGCAAAACACACACUCCAAGA
rnacentral:rRNA from 1 species